AGCAGCAGCAGCAGGGGGGCCAGGACGGCGCAGCAGGGAAGGAAUGCAGAGCAGGGGGAGCGCCUCUCCGUCCCAGCGCCUCCCUGCACUGCAUCCCUUCGCUGAGCGGGUAGCGCCGGGCCUGGUCCCUGCUAAAAAGGAGCAGUAACACGUGUUGCAGGACGCUACCCACUGUACCGCAACUUGGUGAGACUGAACCACACUGGCCACAGCUGGUUGCUAAGGAAACAGUGCGAUGGGUCACCGGCUGCGCCGUAGAGCGUGAGACGUGAUGACGUCAUCAUUAGAAGCCGUCGGGACGGGUGCGUGGUCCCGCUACCCGAACGGCAUCAAUCACUGACGGGUGGGGA